UUAUGGCCAUAUCACGUUGAAACAGAGGUUCCCGUACGAUCACCGAAGUGAUGCACCAUCAACCCUGGUUGAUACUAAGAUGGGUGAUUUCUUGAGAAUACCAGGUGCUGUAAG